GUGUACUGUCUUUCUUUGUAAAUAACUCGUGCGCAUGUGCGGCUUAUAGUCUGGUGCGUCUUAUAUAAGAAAGAACCGAAAAUAUCCCCGGAUUUUAGCUGGUGCGGCUUAUAGUCUGAAAAUUACGGUACUGACCACCAUUUUUUGAUGAGACUAAGCCCUCUGGCAUGUCACAUGACCUCUCCAAAACAAAAAAUAACAGCAGAAUGUGCCGAAUUUGCACUGAUGUGUACCAAGUGCGCCCAAGGUGAGAGCGCUGUGAAAUGGCUAUGUGCCACCGCUUCAUACGUGAUUGGCUCUUGCAUGAUCAGACAUGAUCUCACAAAAUUUAAUGGCAGAAUGUCCCUGAUAUAGACCAAUGCUUACUGAACUAUGGAUUAUUAUAUUGGGAUUAUGAAGUAAUUUGUUGGGUAUAAACUUGAAAUAAAAAAGAUAAAAUGGAGAAUGAUUAAAUUUGGAUUAAAAAUCUGACAUGA